GACGAACGCUGGCGGCGUGCUUAACACAUGCAAGUCGAACGGAAAGGCCCUGCUUGCAGGGUACUCGAGUGGCGAACGGGUGAGUAACACGUGGGUGAUCUGCCCUGCACUUCGGGAUAAGCCUGGGAAACUGGGUCUAAUACCGGAUAGGAGCCAUUUUUAGUGUGAUGGUUGGAAAGUUUUUUCGGUGUAGGAUGAGCUCGCGGCCUAUCAGCUUGUUGGUGGGGUAAUGGCCUACCAAAGCGGCGACGGGUAGCCGGCCUGAGAGGGUGGACGGCCACAUUGGGACUGAGAUACGGCCCAGACUCCUACGGGAGGCAGCAGUGGGGAAUAUUGCACAAUGGGCGCAAGCCUGAUGCAGCGACGCCGCGUGGGGGAUGACGGCCUUCGGGUUGUAAACUCCUUUCGCUAGGGACGAAGCUUUUUGUGACGGUACCUAGAGAAGAAGCACCGGCUAACUACGUG
rnacentral:rRNA from 1 species